rnacentral:rRNA from 1 species
UACGUAGGGUGCGAGCGUUAAUCGGAAUUACUGGGCGUAAAGCGUGCGCAGGCGGUUGGUUAAGUCUGAUGUGAAAGCCCCGGGCUCAACCUGGGAAUGGCAUUGGAAACUGGUCAGCUGGAGUGUGGCAGAGGGGGGUGGAAUUCCGCGUGUAGCAGUGAAAUGCGUAGAGAUGCGGAGGAACACCGAUGGCGAAGGCAGCCCCCUGGGCUAGCACUGACGCUCAGGCACGAAAGCGUGGGGAGCAAACAGG